rnacentral:rRNA from 1 species
UACGUAUGUCCCAAGCGUUAUCCGGAUUUAUUGGGCGUAAAGCGAGCGCAGACGGUUAUUUAAAUCUGAAGUGAAAGCCCUCAGCUCAACUGAGGAAUUGCUUUGGAAACUGGAUGACUUGAGUGCAGUAGAGGAAAGUGGAACUCCAUGUGUAGCGGUGAAAUGCGUAGAUAUAUGGAAGAACGCCAGUGGCGAAGGCGGCUUUCUGGACUGUAACUGACGUUGAGGCUCGAAAGUGUGGGUAGCAAACAGG